rnacentral:rRNA from 1 species
AACGAACGCUGGCGGCAGGCUUAACACAUGCAAGUCGAGCGCCCCGCAAGGGGAGCGGCAGACGGGUGAGUAACGCGUGGGAACAUGCCCAAAGGUACGGAACAACUCCGGGAAACUGGAGCUAAUACCGUAUGUGCCCUUCGGGGGACAGAUUUAUCGCCUUUGGAUUGGCCCGCGUCUGAUUAGCUAGUUGGUGGGGUAACGGCCUACCAAGGCGACGAUCAGUAGCUGGUCUGAGAGGAUGAUCAGCCACACUGGGACUGAGACACGGCCCAGACUCCUACGGGAGGCAGCAGUGGGGAAUAUUGGACAAUGGGCGCAAGCCUGAUCCAGCCAUGCCGCGUGAGUGAUGAAGGCCUUAGGGUUGUAAAGCUCUUUCGCCAGGGACGAUAAUGACGGUACCUGGAUAAGAAGCCCCGGCUAACUUCGUGCCAGCCGCCGCGGUAAAAC